rnacentral:rRNA from 1 species
AAGAGAUAAGUGCUGAAAGCAUCUAAGCACGAAACUUGCCCCGAGAUGAGUUCUCCCUGAGACUUUAAGUCUCCUGAAGGAACGUUGAAGACGACGACGUUGAUAGGCCGGGUGUGUAAGCGCAGCGAUGCGUUGAGCUAACCGGUACUAAUGAACCGUGAGGCUUAACCUUACAACGCCGAAG